AACAAACGCUGGCGGCGUGCCUAGUACAUGCAAGUCGAACGGGGAAAGCUUUCGGGUGAGUACUAGUGGCGCACGGGUGAGGAACGCGUGGAUAAUCUGCCUUAGAGUGUGGGAUAACUAGUCGAAAGAUUAGCUAAUACCGCAUAAGACCACAGGAGCUGCGGCUCAAGGGGUCAAAGGUUUUUCGCUCUAAGAUGAGUCCGCGUAAGAUUAGCUAGUUGGUGAGGUAACGGCUCACCAAGGCGACGAUCUUUAACUGGUCUGAGAGGAUGAUCAGUCACACUGGAACUGAGACACGGUCCAGACUCCUACGGGAGGCAGCAGUAGGGAAUAUUGCACAAUGGAGGAAACUCUGAUGCAGCGACGCCGCGUGAGUGAUGAAGGCCUUCGGGUCGUAAAGCUCUGUCGCAGGGGAAUAACACAAUGAAUGUACCCUGUAAGAAAGGAUCGGCUAACUUCGUGCCAGCCGCCGCCGUAAGAC
rnacentral:rRNA from 1 species